rnacentral:rRNA from 1 species
UACAGAGGGCGCGAGCGUUAAUCGGAAUUACUGGGCGUAAAGCGCGCGUAGGCUGUUGUGUAAGUUGGGGGUGAAAUCCCACGGCUCAACCGUGGAACAGCCCUUGAUACUGCGCGACUUGAAUCCGGGAGAGGGUGGCGGAAUUCCAGGUGUAGGAGUGAAAUCCGUAGAUAUCUGGAGGAACAUCAGUGGCGAAGGCGGCCACCUGGACCGGUAUUGACGCUGAGGCGCGAAAGCGUGGGGAGCAAACAGG